UACGUAGGGUGCAAGCGUUAAUCGGAAUUACUGGGCGUAAAGCGUGCGCAGGCGGUUAUUCAAGUCAGAUGUGAAAUCCCCGGGCUCAACCUGGGAACUGCAUUUGUGACUGCAUGGCUGGAGUGCGGCAGAGGGGGAUGGAAUUCCGCGUGUAGCAGUGAAAUGCGUAGAUAUGCGGAGGAACACCGAUGGCGAAGGCAAUCCCCUGGGCCUGCACUGACGCUCAUGCACGAAAGCGUGGGGAGCAAACAGG
rnacentral:rRNA from 1 species